UACGUAGGGUGCAAGCGUUAUCCGGAAUUAUUGGGCGUAAAGAGCUCGUAGGCGGUUUGUCGCGUCUGCUGUGAAAACUGGAGGCUCAACCUCCAGCCUGCAGUGGGUACGGGCAGACUAGAGUGCGGUAGGGGAGAUUGGAAUUCCUGGUGUAGCGGUGGAAUGCGCAGAUAUCAGGAGGAACACCGGUGGCGAAGGCGGAUCUCUGGGCCGUAACUGACGCUGAGGAGCGAAAGCAUGGGGAGCGAACAGG
rnacentral:rRNA from 1 species